ACUGCGGUGGUGUAAUGGUUAGCAUUUCUGCCUCGUAAGCAGAAUCACCCGGGUUCGAGCCCCGGCCGCAGCA